rnacentral:lncRNA from 1 species
AGAGGAAGACGCACGCAGAGAAAGGGACCCUCCANNNNNNNNNNNNNNNNNNNNUCUCCCUUAAUCCUGACGCAACCUCCUGAAGCUGGUAUUACCGUGAAGCCGGUUCUGAAGAGGAAGACGCACGCAGAGAAAGGGACCCUCCACUGUCAUAGUGUCCACUCCACACGACAGCGACUGUGCAUCACGACAGAACGCACACUCGCAGCUUCCGACCUCCACCAAAAACCCGAGCCCCGCUCCGCCCGACCACGAGCCAAACGGGCACGAAGCGCGGUCACCUGGAACUGGACACCAGCUCCGCCGGCCCUCCCGGCUCGCCGCGACGACUCUGCUCUCCGUCGGGGCUGCGGAACGCGGCCAGAAUCGCUCCUCUCUGCUCGCAGCCUUUGAAAUUACCUGAGAAAAUAAAUAAGGCAUAUGAAGAAAAGAUGUUACUAUCCAUUUAUUGGUAAGGAAUUCAUAUUUUUUUCAUUUUUUCAGUCUUUUUUAGAAAUGUUUCCUUUUUGUCCUAUUGGUUAAAAAAUAAAUAUCUUUCUACAUGGCACUUGCAACUAAUAAUAACUAAAAUGUGUUGAUUACUUACAAUAUACCAGGCAUUGCACGUUUGGUGCAUUCUCUCAUUUUUAUCCCCACAACACUCCCCUGUAGUAGGUGUUUUUGUUGUCCCCAUUUUGCAGAAAAUAUAGAGGUCAAGUAAAUCUGCAGGACUGGUCGCACAGCGUGGAGAGGCACAGCCGGCGUGCAGACCUUCCUUGUCUGACUCCAGAGCCAGCUGUGCUUUCAGUAACCACUCUUCCCUGCUUCACCCUGUGGGUAUUUCUGGCCUGCAUUAAAUCUUUGAAUAAAAAUACUCGCCCU